UUUGAACGCUGGCGGCAGGCUUAACACAUGCAAGUCGAGCGGGGUGAUGGUGCUUGCACUAUCACUUAGCGGCGGACGGGUGAGUAAUGCUUAGGAAUCUGCCUAUUAGUGGGGGACAACAUCUCGAAAGGGAUGCUAAUACCGCAUACGUCCUACGGGAGAAAGCAGGGGAUCACUUGUGACCUUGUGCUAAUAGAUGAGCCUAAGUCGGAUUAGCUAGUUGGUGGGGUAAAGGCCUACCAAGGCGACGAUCUGUAGCGGGUCUGAGAGGAUGAUCCGCCACACUGGGACUGAGACACGGCCCAGACUCCUACGGGAGGCAGCAGUGGGGAAUAUUGGACAAUGGGGGGAAGCCUGAUCCAGCCAUGCCGCGUGUGUGAAGAAGGCCUUAUGGUUGUAAAGCACUUUAAGCGAGGAGGAGGCUUACCUAGUUAAUACCUGGGAUAAGUGGACGUUACUCGCAGAAUAAGCACCGGCUAACUCUGUGCCAGCAGCCGCCGUAACAC
rnacentral:rRNA from 1 species